UAUUUGAAACUAUAAAUUUGAAUAGAAGAAGAAGAUAGCGUAGAAGUAAUAAGCUACACAGAUGGCGUAGUGAAGAGAUACUAUACACAGUGACCUUAAUCGAACCUAGAUAAAUGCCCAUAAAAAAGUCUGCUGCUGCAAGGUUGCAAACGAGAAAUCGUGGGACAUCCAUCUUGCUCCUGGAGAAUAUUAACACGAACACUACAGUUCCAUUCCCAAGCAUGGCGAGCAGAAAUACUACCCAUACACCACAACGUAGAGUCCACCAGUCGAAGAGAUCCUGGCAGGGUAGAAAAGGACCUGUAAAUCGCGAAAUAUUUCAGACUUUUUCAAAUACUGUGAUUAAAAAGUUAUCGAAUGUCUGAAAAGAAGUUUGUGAUAGAAUUACCAGGUUGAGGUAGGCACUGUACGUGAGAAGGCAGUGUUCGAGCUGGUUGGGUAGCUCGGCUGUUUUGCUCUUCAAAAUAAUCCUCAACGUAUGAGGGCAGGUUACCAGGGUACGUAAAAUCUGAACCAAAGUUAGCCCAAAGUUCAUUUAUUUGCGAGCCAAAUUUGUCGGUCAUGUUAUCUAGAACACGUCAUCACUUCAGUGCUGCAAAGUCGUUUUUUUCAUUUUUUUUUUUUUUUUAUUUGAUUUGAACGAAUCGAUGAUCGAAGAGAGAUAUUUGGAUGAUUUCUCGCGUAGCAGAAUGUGUGUUGUCGUGAACUUAUGCCUUUUUUAACGAUUCUCUGAGAAUCUUCAAUUAAUGGCGAAUUUAAAAUAGAGUAUAUUGUAGUUUCGCUUGAGUAUAUGUUUUUGAGCUUUACAAGAUAUUCUUACGUUCAUUGAAACAAAAUUUUAAUAAUAUGUACAAAGAAAUACGCUGUAUUAAUAGAAAUUAAUUAUAGGCGGAAAGUUAUAAUUAUUUAUGUUUUUUAUUAAUAUUUCUGAACAAUAGAAAGAUUGAUAUCAAAGAGUUAAAAAGAGGAAAAGUACAGAAAAAUGGAAAAUUUGUCCAUCAAUUUUAACCUUGUUAAUUGUAAAAUGAAUUUUAGAUUCGCCAUAGAUGAUAGUCGAAACAUCAUGUAAUUUGUUUCAAGUGGGAUACUUUAUUUCUAUCUUUGAAGCGUUUAAUUCUCGAAUGUCGAAAUUUGUUUGUCCAUGUGGGAAAACGGUGUUCGCAUGUGGAUUAUUGGGAAUGUUCUCAAAACUUGUACAGCUUGAAUUUUCACUGAAACAGUCUUAAACAACGUAAAUGAAUUUAUGCGGCUUGCGCUUUGCAGCAUUUCAGUGUCGAUCGACUCAUAAACUAAAAUGUAAUAAGCUGAAUUUUUAACAGGAUAGAAUUGUUUCACUGUUAAUUGAUUCAUUUAUUACUGCAAAAGUGAUGUAGAUAUCUUCAUCAUUUCCGUUACAAUGUUUUAAUACGUUAGCGAUCUCUGAAAACUUGUUACUUUCUUCAUCUGUUAGUGAAGUAUUUUGAUACUGUUGUGAGUGGUGUCAUGGUAAGAUGAUUAGUGGCAAUGAGUAAAAUAAUCAAAGGAAUCUUCAAUUGAUGCAGUUCAAACAUAUUUAUAUGUGUUUAUAUUUGAAGGUGCAAAAAUACACAGAUUGCAGCCGCGAUAAAAAAUACAGAGAUGAUAAAAAGGGCAAGAAGGAACUAGAAAAUAGAAAAAAAAAAGAUUUUUAAUUCAAUUAUAAAGUUAUAUAAAUUUUAAAAAAGAACGAAAGAUAAAAGGAUUUCUUGAAAGAAUAAUGAUAAAUAUAGAACAAAAGGAAAUGUCGAACAGUAUCAACUUGAAGUAUCCAGACUAUGAAAGCUCGAAGGAUCUCAACCGGGGAAUCAGUCGAUUGAGCUACUUACUAAGC